CACCAUAAUCCCACCAACGGCUUUAUGCCACCUUAUCCUUGCGAGUAUAAUAAUAUCCUAUAAUAUCUACUCGCAAGGGUAAGGUGGGAUGAGGACGGGUGA
rnacentral:pre_miRNA from 1 species